CUCAGGGUUAUAGAACAGCCGCCUUCAGCUAUUCUCCCCCAGGGCUCUGCAGAACCUUCCCACCUUUCAGCAGGCUGGAGUGCAGUGGCAUGAUCGUGACUCACUGCAGCCUUCCACUCCUGGGCUCAAGCAAUCCUACUGCCUCAGGCUCCCAGAAGUAUGGAGCAGUGGGAUCACUUUCACAAUCAACAGGAGGACACUGAUAGCUGCUCCGAAUCUGUGAAAUUUGAUGCUCGCUCAAUGACAGCUUUGCUUCCUCCGAAUCCUAAAAACAGCCCUUCCCUUCAAGAGAAACUGAAGUCCUUCAAAGCUGCACUGAUUGCCCUUUACCUCCUCGUGUUUGCAGUUCUCAU
rnacentral:lncRNA from 1 species